CUCGCCUCUGACGGAUCCCUCCCGGUUAACUUUUUGAUGUUUUGAUCGACGUUUUUUAGCCCUUCUUUUGCGAGUUCAACUUCGCGUUGUAGCGAACUAACAACAUCUCUGGCUGCCAUCUUGAAUAAUGAAUCACGUGCUAGGGCCUCCCACAUCCAGGUUUAUCCUUAAAAAGAGGAAUUUUGCAAAUUCCAAGAAUUUUUAAGAAUUGAGAAAUUUGAAUUUUAAUUAACUACAGUAUAUAACUG